CGGGUGACUCCUCUUGGGGGGCCGGUUCCUCAGACUGAGUGUGAGGUUUUACAAUGAUGGGAAAGCAACGUGAUUUAAAAUUCCAGGUUUCCCCUGCUUUUCAAAAGUUUACUUUAUGCCACUUGGCUUUUACAAAAGACUUAUAUUAGUGCCUGUUUUGCUAACCGAAAGAAAUCGAAGAGGAUUUUCACAAAAAUAGCUGUCAACGUUUGUUUUACAAUGAGCAGUUACAGAGGCAGUGCUCACUUCACUCUCAAGGACAUUUAAAAAGACACACCAACCACAUGGACGGAUGGAAACCAGCAGGUAACUGAGUAUUAUAAAGACUCCCUCGAAG